AAUGUCAACAUUUUAUUGUGGAGCUAGAUGCCAUUAGCUGUGGAGACGAAUGAUCUCUGACAGACAGCUGUGGGCCCGCUAUCGGCAAAUAAAACCAGCUGCUUCAAUAAUACCAUACAGCUAUAAAGUCAGACCAUGUAUCGUACCAAGUCACAAGAGUUCUAACAGCCUUUCGUUCACGACGUGUUGUGCCUUAGCCUCUUACCGCUUAAGCCUUUGCGACUACCAACAUGAUGAAAUCUGUCGGUCUUGUCCUUCUUCUCACGGCAGCCUUUGCCUACUCCGGUGUUGAAGGUACAAGUGCGUGUGCUGAGUCCAUAAACGCCGUAUUGGGGUACGAAUCCAGGAUUCCUAUCAUCAACGCCUGCAAGGUGGAUCCAAAGGCAAAUGCCUCCUUGAAUGCCCUCGCAGGUAAUCCUGCCUGCAAAGACUACAAGUUCAGUACCCGCAAUCGCAAGUGCGAAGUUCUCGCAGCUCCCUGCAUGAAAUGGGUAGCGAAACAACUUGGUUUUUUGACGGCUGAUGGCUCCAUCGACAACACUAUGAUCUUCCUCCAGUACAAGGCUUUCAUCAAAGCCAACCCUGCCUGCAACGCUGCUCAGUACGACUACGCUGUGAAAAAAUGCGAAAAGAAAAUCAAGAACUACGCGUUAAUAAAGAAGGCUGCUUGCAUGGCCAACGCGACGGACAAGUACACUGGCUAACCUGCACAAUCUGUCCUCAUUCCUUCAUCUGACAGGCGGCUUUGAAGUGUUCACAACAGAUUGAAAACGUUGAUGAACACUUCAACAAUGAAACUUUUUAUUAUUUCGCCCAAGCUGUUCAAAAUAAUUUACAAUACAUUAUCUGCAUGAA
rnacentral:misc_RNA from 1 species